CCUGUAAUUGAUGGAAGUAAAGAGGAUAGCUUAAGAUAUGCUUAUUCAAAAGAAACAGUAGCAAAUCACUGAACUUGAUAGCGGACUAUAAGGAUAUAUUGAGAUUAAUUACCAGGAGGCAAGUGAGCUCAUUAUCUAGUAGUGGUGAGGAGGAGGAGGUGAGGAGUAGAUGUAAGCCGGUGGAGUGUGAACGGGAGGAGUAGGAGGCUUGUAAGGCUUCGUUGGUGGUGGUGGUGGUGGUGGUGGUGACUUGUAGUGGUAUGGAAUGUGGGGUGGAGAGUAGACUGGAGGAGGAGGAGAAGGCGGUGGUGGAGACUUGUAGUGGUAAGGCGGUGACUUGGGAGGGUAGUGGGGGUGCUUAGGUGGUGAGUACACUGGUGGUGUUGGGGAUGGUGGUGGCUUAGGAGGGUAAUGGGGGUGCUUGGGUGGUGAGUACUUGGGUGGUGUUGGAGAGGGUGGUGACUUGGGAGGGUAGUGAGGAUGCUUGGGUGGUGAGUACACUGGUGGUGUUGGUGAGGGUGGUGACUUGGGAGGGUAAUGAGGGUGCUUGGGUGGUGAGUAGACCGGUGUCUUAGGUGGUGACUUGGGGGGGUAGUAGGGGUGGUGAGGUGGUGAGUAGACUGGCGUUGGUGGUGGAGGAGACUUGUAGUGGUAUGGCUUCUUUGGUGGUGGUGGUGAGUGAUGUGGGUGGUAGGGCUUCUUGUGUGGUGGCGGGGGUGGUGGAGACUUGUAGUGGUAAGGCUUCUUCGGUGGUGGUGGAGGUGGUGGAGACUUGUAGUGGUAUGGCUUCUUUGGUGGUGGUGGUGAGUGGUGUGGAUGGUAGGGCUUCUUGUGUGGUGGGGGUGGUGGAGGAGACUUGUAAUGGUAAGGGACCUUCGGUGGUGGCGGUGAUGGAGGAGGAGGAGACUUGUAGUGGUAAGGCACCUUAGGUGGUGGUGGUGAUGGAGGAGGAGGAGACUUGUAGUGGUAUGGCACCUUUGGUGGUGGUGGUGACGGAGGUGGUGGAGAUUUGUAGUGGUAGACAGGUGUCUUUGGUGGCGGGUACACCGGAGGCUUGGGAGGUGACUUGGGAGGGUAAUGUGGGUGCUUAGGAGGAGAGUACACCGGAGGCUUAGGUGGUGACUUUGGUGGGUAAUGGGGAUGCUUAGGCGGCGAGUACACCGGUGGUGUGGGUGAGGGUGGUGACUUUGGUGGGUAAUGAGGAUGCUUUGGUGGAGAGUACACCGGAGGCUUAGGCGGUGACUUGGGAGGAUAGUAAGGAUGAUGGGGUGGUGCGUAGUGCACUGGUGGCGGAGGCGGCGGUGGUGACUUGUAGUGGUAAGGAGGAGAAGCAGGUGGUGGAGGAGAGGAGUAAGGGUAGUUUGCGGAGGUUUGCGAGGCAAAAGCGACUAAUGCCACUAGAAGACUGAAAACUAGAGAGGUCCCCAUUUUCCCCAUCCUUGUGGGUUUAAGAGGAGAUGGAUUUUGGUUUUCUGCUCUAUAUGCGAAGCCUCUACGCCCUUUAUAUAGCUUUGGUGUUUACCCAUCUAAUCAAACUAAGGGUAAAAUAUAGUAAUCAUCAUCAUGUGCCAAAUUUACAUGCCCAAUUAUCAGUCCUCUUUGGUGUAAAACAAGAUUAGCUAGUGUUAAAAAAACACAAAUAGGGGGCCAGCAAGUAUUGACUGGAAAUAUUUUGUUGAUUGAAUUUGAAGAAUAAAACCUAGCUAACCUAUAUAUUAUACAGUGCCAUCUAUCAAAACGAGCAAUUUUUCCAUAGCUUAGUUAAUUAGUUGGUAUAUUUAUUCUCUGGUUUUCAUGAAUGAUUGAGAAAGAGAGAACAAGCUUCGAAAACGUGUGUGGGUUUUGCCCAACUUUUUCUGAUUCUCGCUGUGCCGAGGACCAGGCGGCUUUGCUCUAUCUGGUCUGUCACAGUCACAUUUUGCAUGGCAUUACUCGAAUUUUUUUCUCUGAUUAAUGUUUUGGGGUGGAUUGAAGUGCCUAUUUGCCUUAAUCAAACGUGGUUUAUCACUAAUUAAUCACUUACAAAGACGAAUUAGGUGUCAUAAUUGCAAUGAAUGAUAACUAGAUAUUGUCUCUACUCUUAACUUGUUGUUCCAAACUAGUAGUAUAAACCAAUUAAGUAGAAUUUAUCGUUUAGACCAUUAACAAAGACUAGCUAGCUAUAAGAUCAAAACAAUUCUUUGAAAGGAGAAAAAUGUUAAUUAAACUAGAGUUGA
rnacentral:lncRNA from 1 species